AGCUGUCCUUGAGCCUCGACUCUGGGUGAGCCCUCUGGGUCUUAGAUUUGAGAUGCAAUUUUCAAACUUGAAGAUCACGGUGAGCAGAGAGAUCUCUGAGCUACUGCCAAUCCUAAUGUCCCUUGUAUUGAGCGUUGACUGUGUUGACAAUGAAAAGCCAGAAGAGCCUCAAGGAGGAAAGAGGUCAAUAGCCAAAUGUUUCAAGAAGUCAAGGAAGUCAUGAAAUGUUGGGGCAAGUCAGGCAGGUGCAGAACAACAUGUAAAGAAAGUGAAGUAUACUAUAUAUUAUGCAAAACUGAGGCUAAGUGCUGUGUGGAUCCCAAGUAUGUACCUGUAAAACCAAAAUUAACAGACAGAAAUACAAGCCUGGAAUCAACUUCUGCAGUCUGACACCUCUCUUCCAACCUUGAGUCUCAACAUCAUGGGAUCCUGCAGUUCUAUUAAAUCAUUCUUGGCAA
rnacentral:sRNA from 1 species